AUUCACGUAAGCUAACACCCGCCAUUUCCACUAUGGCCGACAGCAAGAGUCCCGGAUGCCUUUUCGGCCGUUCGUGCGAUUUGAUAUAUAAAGUACAUAUGUAAGAAGAACGUUUCUAGUGGUAGAAUAUUCUAGUUUUAAAAAGUGAAGUAGCAUCUCUUAUCCGCCAUCUUCUUUUCUUGACCAAUGAUAAUUCAUCGAUUCCGUGUGUUCUAAACGUUGUAAAAAUGAAUUUACUUCUAAUCCGCCAUUUUUACUAUUUUUUCGAAAUGUUAGUCAGUGAUAAAGUAUAUUUACAUGAUACAAUUUGUAAAUUUUUAUUAUGGAAUAUCAACAAUGUAAAACGUUUAAUUGAAUCAUAAUGUUACUCGUACUUUAUAAAAUGAAAUUUCAUAUUUUGUAUCUUAUAUAUAAUUUAAAUAAAUAAUUAGUAAUUUAUGUAUCAGUGAUAAGCUUCAUGAAUAAAAUUAUAAUUAUAUAAUUAUAAUAAGGUAAUAUAUAAUAUAUUUAUACUUAAUUAAUAUUUUAUUAAAUUAAAAAAUUGUUAACAUUUUAAAAAUAUUAAUAUUAUAAUUAUAUUAAAAC